AUGAAGAACGCAGCGAAAUGCGAUAAGUAAUGUGAAUUGCAGAAUUCAGUGAAUCAUCGAAUCUUUGAACGCACCUUGCGCCCUUUGGCUAUUCCGAAGGGCAUGCCUGUUUGAGUAUCAUGAACACCUCAACUCUCAUGGUUUGCCAUGAUGAGCUUGGACUUUGGGGGUCUUGCCGGCCUAUGGGUCGGCUCCUCUCAAAUUAAUCAGCUUGCCAGUGUUUGGUGGCAUCACAGGUGUGAUAACUAUCUACGCUUGUGGUUUUCCAUCAGGUAACCUUCAGUGAUGGAGGUUCGCUGGGGCUCAUAAAUGUCUCUCCUCAGUGAGGACAGCUUUUUUGAACGUUUGAUCUCAAAUCAGGUAGGACUACCCGCUGAACUUAAGCAUAUCAAUAAGCGGAGGA
rnacentral:misc_RNA from 1 species